rnacentral:rRNA from 1 species
UACGUAGGUGGCAAGCGUUGUCCGGAUUUAUUGGGUUUAAAGGGUGCGUAGGCGGUCUUUUAAGUCAGUGCUGAAAUACUCCAGCUUAACUGGAGGGGUGCCAUUGAUACUGAUGGACUUGAGUCAAGUCGAGGUAGGCGGAAUUGACGGUGUAGCGGUGAAAUGCUUAGAUAUCGUCAAGAACACCAAUAGUGAAGACAGCUUACUGGGCUUAAACUGACGCUGAGGCACGAAAGUGUGGGGAUCAAACAGG